rnacentral:rRNA from 1 species
GAUGAACGCUGGCGGCGUGCUUAACACAUGCAAGUCGAACGCUGAAGCUCCCAGCUUGCUGGGGGUGGAUGAGUGGCGAACGGGUGAGUAUCACGUGAGUAACCUGCCCUUGACUUCAGGAUAAGCCCGGGAAACUGGGUCUAAUACUGGAUACGACCGAUCCUCGCAUGGGGUGUUGGUGGAAAGAUUUUAUCGGUCUUGGAUGGACUCGCGGCCUAUCAGCUUGACGGUGGGGUAAUGGCUCACCGUGGCGAUGACGGGUAGCCGGCCUGAGAGGGUGACCGGUAACACUGGGACUGAGACACGGCCCAGACUCCUACGGGAGGCAGCAGUGGGGAAUAUUGCACAAUGGGCGCAAGCCUGAUGCAGCGACGCCGCGUGCGGGAUGACGGCCUUCGGGUUGUAAACCGCUUUCAGUACAGAAGAAGCCCCUUGUGGGUGACGGUAUGUGCAGAAGAAGCGCCGGCUAACUACGUGCCAGCAGCCGCAGUAA